rnacentral:misc_RNA from 1 species
GACUCACACCAAGUACAUAGAGAUACACAUAUAUAUAUAUAUAUAUAUAUACACUUACAUAAACUCAAUAGAACUCAAACGAAGCCGGCGGCGCGCCGCGUCAUCGUAUCCUUCUCCUUUUUUGUGUUUCGACUGCUGCCGUGGCACUCACUGCCCCCCUCGAGCCAAACCCACGCUAGAAAACUACACGGGGGAUUGCGCACCUCUGCGCGCUGCAGACAGCAGCUUUCUUUGUGUGUUUCCAGCACCUAUCCACACCACGCACCACCUUGCGUACGGCCGCAACGCCAAUACGGUCUUCGCCGCACAAGUGCAUAGAUUGCACCAUCUCACACAUCAUUGUCUGUGCGUUUGCUCUGUCCUCUUGCUCCUAUCAAGGUUCGUUGCGCUCCCCUCGCCCCCCCCCACACACGCGCGCGCGCAAAGACAAACACGCGUACUCUCCCGUUGUUGGUGGACGAAGUGGUAACAUCACACGGCUACCGUCAUUCAUCUUUUCGCUCCUUGCUGUGUGCGAAGGCGAUUGUGUACCUUCACGGCAGUCGUGCUAGCUCGCUUCGACCGCUCUCCUCCUCUGUUCUUCACUCACAAUGAACACAUCAAUGGCUGAUGUCGACUCCAUAGACGCCCCGCCGCGGGUUGCCCCACCGUCUGUACCAGAGACCAGGCCCGUCGCGAAAGUACAGGGAGAGCAAUCGGCAGACCAGCGGCAGCAGAGAAGGUGUGACUUGGAAGACAUUUUUCAGCCCUCUUCGACUGCAGAUGGCCACGCUGCGGACGGCAAAAGUGGCCCGCACAGAGGUGGCGACCGUAGCAGCACCUCUUCCUCAUCUUCGUGCCGGGUGCGCACACCUUUGAUGUCCGUUGCCGCCUCCCGUGCGCGAGUUCCCUCGAAGGAAGUCCUUUACAGGAGACGCAGCGGCCCCCACCAACACCGCCCAUCUCCCUCGCUGGUGAGUGCAACCGACGUUGUUAUCGAAGGAAGAGGUGAUGACAUAUAUACAGGGCACGGAGCCUCAGGGCGCGAUGGGCAGCUCACAUCGUCACCGGCGAACCCCGGGCCGUCUCUCGCUCGGCAAUAUGGCGAAAAUGCUGCGCUUACGCGCGCCAUCGCGGCUGACGUGGCGGCGGCCUCAGCGGAAAUCACAUCCCAUCGCCAAAAGAGUCGGGUCGCGAAGUUCCUUCUUGACAUGGAGGGCGAUCCGAGUGUGAGCACCGACGCCCUUCUGCGGCGCAUGCAGACCAAGGAGAAGGAGUUCGAUGAGAAGAUCCACCAGAUUCAUCACACUUUUCAGAACGCAGGGGAGCAGCUCGUUGUGCGGGACAACAUCAUCUCCCAUCUGAAGGAAGAGCUCGCUGGUCUUCGUGCGGAGGUCGCGCGGAUACCGAAAGAGUACCAGGAGCGAGAGGAGAAGCUACUGCUCCGUGUAGAGGCCAUGAUGACGGAGCUGUCGGAGGAGCAGAAGCGUGCCCAUCACUCCCGCCGCACCGCCGAGGAGGAGGUGCGCGCUGUCCGUGAUUCCUUGCAGACGGCGGAGCAGCAGCUGGCGCAGCAGCAGCACAUGUCAGACGAUCUGUUGCGACAACUUCGUGCGAGCGACAAGGCACUUCAAGAAGAAAAGCAGCGGCACGCCACCGCGCUUGCGGAGAGUCGGUGCGCCUACGAGGCCAAGCUCAGCGAGCUCCAACGCACCUUUCGCUCCAUGGAGAAGCAGGUGGCCAAGUCGCAGUCGCGUCUGGAGGAUAUGGAGAAGGACCGCUGCCAGCAGCAGGCAAAGCUUCUGGAGCUGGAGCUGAGCGGCCGGCGGCGAAUCUCCUCCGAGACGGUCAAGGCCAAGGAGCUUCUCACCGAAAACGAAGCCCUGCGCGACGAGGUGGAAGCCGUGCGCCUCAGUAUGGCGCGUCUGCUGAGACUGAUGAGCGAGGUGCCUGUCCUGUCGGACUACCUACAAUGGAAUGAACUGAGCAGCGAGUUUGUCUUCCUCGGCUACCCUACUCGAUAUUUUGACACGAGUCACCGAGGACGAGGAACGUCCUCGCUGUCACCUAGUCGACGCACGGGCAGUCAUGGAGCCUCUCCAGCGCGCCGUCGUGCUGCGGCUGUAGCCGCGGGGGACGACAUGAGCUUCGACAGGCCCGGGCCGUCGAGCCACUCUUCUGGCUACUAUCAGGACACAAACGUCUCCGGUAUCUCUGCGGGCGACACGGGCGUCGAGGAUGGCGUCUACGCCGGCGUUGCGGCUUCGCUUUCCAAGAAUGUCUGGCUGAACGGCCGGUGGGCUCAGGAAAUGAUCUCCAUCAUCUCGGCAGAGAACAACUUCACUCGUCUGAAACGAAUAAAACUGCUGGAGCUGGAGGAGGCGGCGCAGCUAAGCGAGCGGCUGCCAUCUGCGCGCGACGUCCUUGAGUGCCGUAAGCCGGAACAUCAUUACUGGAUCCCGUACGCCGUCUUCAUGGAGGCGCAGAAAUUCAAGAACAAGUACUACCCAAAACUGCCCGCCAUGUCGCACUUUUCGCCAUUUCUCAUUCAACUCAACAAGAUUUGGCGCGCGAAGUUGCAGGACCGGCUGCGCAUCAUGCAGCAACAGACUUACAAUCAACCGCAGCAGCCCUCUCAAGCGCGGCGCAGCGCCACUGGUGAGAGUCGGUUCGCCAGUCGCGCGCGAACCCGUGAAGGCAAUCUCGAUGACCAGGGAAGCAGCGCAGUAAGCCGGCUAACAAGUCGCGGCUGCGUCGCACCUUUGCCGAGGCCGGGCGAGCUGUUUUCGGAGUGGGCGCGCCAAGAAGCCCGCAUGGAUGAAAUUCACGCUGAACACCAUCGCCUGCGCCGCGAGGUGCGCCUCCAUGUCAGCAGCCAAAAAGGUCUGCAGCUCUUUCGACUGUACGACGAGCUUGUGCGCGGUGCCCAUCAGACCCUCGGCGAAGUCCUUCGGCUGGCAGAGGACCUCUACGACAGUGCGAUGGCUCAGCGCGUGUCAGAGUCGGAGGACCGAAAGCGCGCAGCAUCCAGCGCGCUUCAUGAGAUUAAGCAACAGGGGCAAGCAAGUGCAGAGAUGGCUGAUCUUGCUGAGGCGCGUGAUCGGCUGCUGUGCGUCGUGGAUCACACGUGUCAGCAGGUGUGUGAUGUCGGAGACUCCUUGUCCACCCGAAUGAUGUCCUACUAUAGUGAUCUGCAUCAACUCAUUCACAUGCUACACCACCACAUUCGCCAGGCUCGUGAGCGCAGCCGUCACAAGACGCGUGAGCAAGCUAGCAGCGACGGUACGAGAAGCGGCAGCAGCACUAGCAGCUCCACCGCCCCGUGGUCUGGAAGGAUCUCGAGCACUGUUUUGUCCACCGAAGAGCUUCAACAGCGACUUCGCGAGCUUCUCCACGGCCAGUACGGAACGGCCCGCGGCCCUGGUGCCGAUGCGGAUCAUGCUGCAGAUGCUGCUGCAGCGCCCGGGGCAAUCAGCAGCGACGCGCUGUUGAAGCUGGCCGCCAGCGUGCUGGACUUCGGCGAAGAGAUCCGCCGCGAAGUGACUCACGCCACCGCUGCCCUCCGCGUAGUUGCCGAGCAGGGCAUGAGAGAAGCAGCUCAGUGUCAAGGCGCGUGAUCUGAGAGAGAGGUGGGAAGGAACGUCACUGUUUCCACGUGCUGGUUUCACGCUCUCCACACGUCAGCUCGGUCUCUCCAUUGCAGCGGUCGUUUCCGCGUCCACAUAGUCGGUGGAUGCGGCGCGCACCUCACACAGCUCUGCGUCGCUUAUCAUCAGUUUGUUUGCUUGUUCGAGUCUGUUAUCCCCUUCGUGUACCUGUACCGUGUGUAUGUGUGUAUGUGCACGUGUGCGUGUGUGGAUGCACGGAGGUCGCAGGCGUCCCUGCAGGUGCUGAUCAACUCCUUUUUUGUCGUUUGUCACGCAGGUCGACAAACAGGAUAU